rnacentral:rRNA from 1 species
GAUGAACGCUGGCGGCGUGCCUAAUACAUGCGAGUCGAGCGAACAGACGAGGAGCUUGCUCCUCUGACGUUAGCGGCGGACGGGUGAGUAACACGUGGAUAACCUACCUAUAAGACUGGGAUAACUUCGGGAAACCGGAGCUAAUACCGGAUAAUAUAUUGAACCGCAUGGUUCAAUAGUGAAAGACGGUUUUGCUGUCACUUAUAGAUGGAUCCGCGCCGCAUUAGCUAGUUGGUAAGGUAACGGCUUACCAAGGCAACGAUGCGUAGCCGACCUGAGAGGGUGAGCGGCCACACUGGAACUGAGACGCGGUCCAGACUCCUACGGGAGGCAGCAGUAGGGAAUCUUCCGCAAUGGGCGAAAGCCUGACGGAGCAACGCCGCGUGAGUGAUGAAGGUCUUCGGAUCGUAAAACUCUGUUAUUAGGGAAGAACAAAUGUGUAAGUAACUAUGCACGUCUUGACGGUACCUAAUCAGAAAGCCACGGCUAACUACGUG